UCUUUGAUGGCUCAGUGGUAAAGAAUCUGCCUGCAAUUCAGGAGACCCAGGUUAGAUCCCUGGGUUAGGAA
rnacentral:tRNA from 1 species